rnacentral:rRNA from 1 species
UGGGGAAUAUUGGACAAUGGGCGAAAGCCUGAUCCAGCAAUGCCGCGUGAGUGAUGAAGGCCUUAGGGUUGUAAAGCUCUUUUACCCGGGAUGAUAAUGACAGUACCGGGAGAAUAAGCCCCGGCUAACUCCGUGCCAGCAGCCGCGGUAAUACGGAGGGGGCUAGCGUUGUUCGGAAAUACUGGGCGUAAAGCGAACGUAGGCGGCUUGGCAAGUCAGGGGUGAAAUCCCAGUGCUCAACACUGGAACUGCCUUUGAAACUGCCAGGCUUGAAUCCUGGAGAGGCGAGUGGAAUUCCGAGUGUAGAGGUGAAAUUCGUAGAUAUUCGGAAGAACACCAGUGGCGAAGGCGACUCGCUGGACAGGUAUUGACGCUGAGGUUCGAAAGCGUGGGGAGCAAACAGG